rnacentral:rRNA from 1 species
UUUAGAGUUUGAUCCUGGCUCAGAUGGAACGCUGGCGGCAGGCUUAACACAUGCAAGUCGAGCGGAAACGAGUUAUCUGAACCUUCGGGGAACGAUAACGGCGUCGAGCGGCGGACGGGUGAGUAAUGCCUAGGAAAUUGCCCUGAUGUGGGGGAUAACCAUUGGAAACGAUGGCUAAUACCGCAUGAUGCCUACGGACCAAAGAGGGGGACCUUCGGGCCUCUCGCGUCAGGAUAUGCCUAGGUGGGAUUAGCUACCUGGUGAGGUAAGGGCUCACCAAGGCGACGAUCCCUAGCUGGUCUGGGAGGAUGAUCAGCCACACUGGAACUGAGACACGGUCCAGACUCCUACGGGAGGCAGCAGUGGGGAAUAUUGCACAAUGGGCGCAAGCCUGAUGCAGCCAUGCCGCGUGUAUGAAGAAGGCCUUCGGGUUGUAAAGUCUUUUCAGUCGUGAGGAAAGCGGCGUCGUUAAUAGCGGCAUCGUGAACGUAGCGACAGAAC